rnacentral:lncRNA from 1 species
UUUUAACAAAGCCAUUUGUCAGACCUUUGCCUCCCAGUUACCUUGAUGAACGAUACCUUAGUAUGCCAAAACGCAGAAAAUUUCUGACUGAUAUUGUAGAUGCCUGUUCUGAUCAAGAUAACAUGUAUAAAAAACCAGUAAAAAGAUUACGAUGUGGCAAAUGCCUGACCACCUACUGUAAUGCAGAAGCACUUGAGGCUCACCUUGCACAAAAGAAAUGUCAGACACUCUUUGGAUUUGAUUCAGAUGAUGAAAGUGCCUGAUAAUGUGUCAGAACGAUCUGUUGAUCAUGCAGUAGUGUUAACAAAGCACUACAAGAAAAUGCAUCAUCAAUUUGCUAUUUCCCUGAUGGCCUUAAUUUUAGAGUGGUCUCGGAUUACUAAAGAAAAGACAAAGCACAUUUUCUGGAAUGAACUUGCAGAGGAGAUGUGCCGGCUUAGACUCCAAAAGGGUUAUAAAACUCCCAAAGUACCAGUUAUCCAUGAAACCACACUUUUAAAAAGUUUAUGGUGAUUAAUAGCAGCAUGUUCAGUUUUGCUUUAUGUGAAAACACAUUUGGGUAACUAGUCAGAAAUAAAAAACCAGCUAUGGCCUUACUG